UUAAGAUAAUUCAUGUUAGUUGAGGAACAAUUUCAGGCUGGUCAUACAGAAUCAACGCUUAGUCCUUGGAACACCCUCAUUUUUGUUAUUAAGAAAAAGUCAGGUAAAUGGAGGUUACUACAGGAUUUAAGGGCAAUAAGCCAUGCAAUUCAGCCUAUGGGAUCAUUGCAGCCCGGACUUCCUCCUCCUAUAGCAAUUCCUUUAAAUUAUAGCUCAAUGGUAAUACAUCUAAAAGAUUGGUUUUUUUCCCCUCAAUAAGGUUACAUCCUGAGGAUUUUUAAAAAAU
rnacentral:sRNA from 1 species